CUGACUCCUUCAUAAAUCUCUCUCCUUUUUAAAUCGAUUCCUCCCAAAUCUGUGAAGAACCCUAAUCUAGAACCAUCUUCUCCAAGUCGAUUUCUCCCAAGUCUCACGCGAAGAUUUCGAAAAUCCACCCGAUUAUUUCAGAGGAAGAAGAAGACGUAAAUUCGAAAUGGAGAGUGACCUUGGGAUUUUGGAUUCGAGAGACGGUCACGGGCCAAGCAAUGGAUCGUCUCGGCUGUCGCCUCCAAGGAAAUUAUUACUUCCAAGAACAACGUACUUCCAAGAAGUUCCGGAAAGUGUGACUAAUAUUUGAUUAUGGUUGAUGCAUAAGGGUAAACUGGUUGCACGAAAACAUAUAGCCACUUCAUCAGACCAAGCUGCUGUGGUUGAUGAAGGUUUCCAAUUCAUGCCAACGCCAAUGGUGAAACAUGAAUCACGGCUAGGUCAUUUUCGAGAGGGAGCAGCAACAACUCAUUGUAAUGAAACGGCCAACCAUCAAGUUCAUAAAUGUAUGAAAACUUUGACGACACUAUUAACAACAUGCAGGACACGGCAGAACUGGAAUCGGACAAAUUGGGAAAGGCCAAGGCACAAGCACAUCGUGGGAGGAAAUCUGCGAAAUUGGGACGACACUGAUGAUCAACAAUGUGAUAGCAGUCCCGUAUUUUUGUUUUAUGGUGUAUGUUGCAGCAUAUUAUGUUUUUGGUUUUAGUGUAUGUUGCUACAUAUUAUGUGACAGAAGUCCCUAAAGUUGGGUGUUUGCGGAUAGUGGUUAGGGCUGGUCCAUAGGAAAUUGGAGCAAAACCUGGCACCAAAUGUUUAUGUACUGCAAUUAAGGCAAAUGUUUUUGUUUUUUGGUUU